UGGGGGAUAUUGCACAAUGGGCGAAAGCCUGAUGCAGCGACGCCGCGUGGGGGAUGAAGGCUUUCGGGUUGUAAACCUCUUUCGCUACCGAACAAGGCCCGCUUAGGGUGGGUUGAGGGUAGGUGGAGAAGAAGCGCCGGCUAACUACGUGCCAGCAGCCGCGGUAAUACGUAGGGCGCGAGCGUUGUCCGGAAUUAUUGGGCGUAAAGGGCUUGUAGGCGGCUUGUUGCGCCUGCUGUGAAAACGCGGGGCUUAACUUCGCGCGUGCAGUGGGUACGGGCAGGCUUGAGUGUGGUAGGGGUGACUGGAAUUCCAGGUGUAGCGGUGGAAUGCGCAGAUAUCUGGAGGAACACCGAUGGCGAAGGCAGGUCACUGGGCCAUUACUGACGCGGAGGAGCGAAAGCAUGGGUAGCGAACAGG
rnacentral:rRNA from 1 species